rnacentral:lncRNA from 1 species
UAUAAUACAGGAUAAAUUUCAAAUGGUUUUACACUUUCUCACUUUAAUACCCUAUGGUUUAAAAGCGUAUCAAGUUAGUAUCUUUUGAUUUUAUUUUUAUCUUUUUUUGUUAAUAUUUCGUUAAAUUAUAUACAAAAAAAACUUCAGAUAUCAUAUCUAGAUUUAUCAAAUAUUUAUUUUAGUACCCUUUAAUUUUAACUUUGUCACUAAUUCAACAAAAAAAUAAAUAAAAUUAAUAAUAAAAAAAUAAAAAAUUUAUAGAAUACUAAAUUAAUAUACUCUACGCCAUAGGGCGCUAAAAUGAAAAAUUAUAAAAACAUAUAGUGGUACUUGAAGUCUUUUUAAUAAGGGAUAAUUGCUUAUAUAUCCCUCAUGCGUUUGAAUAUAUCCGAUUUACCUUUAUUUUUUUUUCUUUUUAAAAUACCCCUCAUAUGUUCCACUGUUAUUCCAAAAUACCUCGCAGUUAUCCCUUGUUAAACUAACUCGGGUUAAAUAUAGAUUAAAUAUAUACUAGAAUUAAAACCUAAUUAAAAUACCUAUUUUGCCCCUACCUUAUUAAACUAUUCCUUUAAGUUAUCAUCUCUUUUUCGCCUAACUUUGUCCCCGCCGGCCGCCGGCCGCCGCGAGCCCCAGCAGCUCACCACUACCGCCAACCUCGGCGCCGGCUCCUCUGCCCCCAAGAAGCCUCGCCUCAUUCGCACAAAAAAAAGGCCCGCGAGUCGCAGCUCUCGUCGUUCUCCUCCUCCUCCUCCACCGCCUUCGACGGCGCCGGGAGCAAGAGUGCCGCAGCGAUUCAUGCAUAUCUGAUGACUAAUUCAUUAUAGCUAAUUUCUCUGUCCCAAAUCCCAAAUUAAUUAAUGUACAUCACCUUUCUCCUCCUCCUUCCCUCUUGUCGCCGCCCACCACUACUACCUCCCUCUCUCCCCCAACUACCCCUUGCCUCCGGGAUGGCCCCG